GAUGGUGUAGCUCAGUGGUAAAGCACAUGCUUAGCAUGCAUGAGGUCUUGGUUCAAUCCCCAGUACCUCCA
rnacentral:tRNA from 1 species